AUUGAACGCUGGCGGCAGGCCUAACACAUGCAAGUCGAGCGGAUGAAGGGAGCUUGCUCCUGGAUUCAGCGGCGGACGGGUGAGUAAUGCCUAGGAAUCUGCCUGGUAGUGGGGGAUAACGUCCGGAAACGGGCGCUAAUACCGCAUACGUCCUGAGGGAGAAAGUGGGGGAUCUUCGGACCUCACGCUAUCAGAUGAGCCUAGGUCGGAUUAGCUAGUUGGUGGGGUAAAGGCCUACCAAGGCGACGAUCCGUAACUGGUCUGAGAGGAUGAUCAGUCACACUGGAGCUGAGACACGGUCCAGGCUCCUACGGGAGGCAGCAGUGGGGAAUAUUGGACAGUGGGCGGAAGCCUGAUCCAGCCAUGCCGCGUGUGUGAAGAAGGUCUUCGGAUUGUAAAGCACUUUAAGUUGGGAGGAAGGGCAGUAAGUUAAUACCUUGCUGUUUUGACGUUACCAACAGAAUAAGCACCGGCUAACUUCGUG
rnacentral:rRNA from 1 species